UCCUACGGGAGGCAGCAGUGGGGAAUCUUGCACAAUGGAGGAAACUCUGAUGCAGCGAUGCCGCGUGAGUGAAGAAGGCCCUAGGGUUGUAAAGCACUUUUAGUAGUGAGGAAGGCUCAGCAGUUAAUACCUGCUGGGAUUGACGUUAGCUACAGAAAAAGCACCGGCUAAUUUCGUGCCAGCAGCCGCGGUAAU
rnacentral:rRNA from 1 species